CAGUAGCCGCGGGAAUACGUAGGGUGCAAGCGUUAAUCGGAAUUACUGGGCGUAAAGCGUGCGCAGUCGGUUAUAUAAGACAGAUGUGAAAUCCCCGUGCUCAACCUGGGAACUGCAUUUGUGACUGUAUAGCUAGAGUACGGCAGAGGGGGAUGGAAUUCCGCGUGUAGCAGUGAAAUGCGUAGAUAUGCGGAGGAACACCGAUGGCGAAGGCAAUCCCCUGGGCCUGUACUGACGCUCAUGCACGAAAGCGUGGGGAGCAAACAGGAUUAGAUACCCCUGUAGUCCCUGUCUCUUAUAC
rnacentral:rRNA from 1 species